rnacentral:lncRNA from 1 species
AAAAUAUUGUUUAACAUGUGACUAUCCCUAAACGAAUCAAAUUUGUUAAAAUAUACGAAUUAAUAAUAUUAUACAAAGAAAAAUAAUGAUUCUAAUGCAAUUUGGAUGUAACAAUUUUUUUCAUUGGCUAAAAGUUGCCGUCAAAUCCACAGUUGACCAGGUGUAACUGAGGAGGGACCCGCCAUUUUGAAUUGAUUGAAUCAACAAAUGUUCGAUUACUACUAAAUAAUCGAAAAUAAAACAACACCUACCUCCAAUUCGACGUU